GGGUUGUGAGGUUAAGCGACUAAGCGUACACGGUGGAUGCCCUGGCAGUCAGAGGCGAUGAAGGACGUGCUAAUCUGCGAAAAGCGUCGGUAAGGUGAUAUGAACCGUUAUAACCGGCGAUGUCCGAAUGGGGAAACCCAGUGUGAUUCGUCACACUAUCGUUAACUGAAUACAUAGGUUAACGAGGCGAACCGGGGGAACUGAAACAUCUAAGUACCCCGAGGAAAAGAAAUCAACCGAGAUUCCCCCAGUAGCGGCGAGCGAACGGGGAGCAGCCCAGAGUCUGAAUCAGCUUGUGUGUUAGUGGAACGGUCUGGAAAGUCCGACGGUACAGGGUGAUAGUCCCGUACACCAAAAUGCACAGGUUGUGAACUCGAAGAGUAGGGCGGGACACGUGGUAUCCUGUCUGAAUAUGGGGGGACCAUCCUCCAAGGCUAAAUACUCCUGACUGACCGAUAGUGAACCAGUACCGUGAGGGAAAGGCGAAAAGAACCCCGGCGAGGGGAGUGAAAAAGAACCUGAAACCGUGUACGUACAAGCAGUGGGAGCACCUUCGGGUGUGACUGCGUACCUUUUGUAUAAUGGGUCAGCGACUUAUAUUCUGUAGCAAGGUUAACCGUAUAGGGGAGCCGCAGGGAAACCGAGUCUUAACUGGGCGUUAAGUUGCAGGGUAUAGACCCGAAACCCGGUGAUCUAGCCAUGGGCAGGUUGAAGGUUGGGUAACACUAACUGGAGGACCGAACCGACUAAUGUUGAAAAAUUAGCGGAUGACUUGUGGCUGGGGGUGAAAGGCCAAUCAAACCGGGAGAUAGCUGGUUCUCCCCGAAAGCUAUUUAGGUAGCGCCUCGUGAAUUCAUCUUCGGGGGUAGAGCACUGUUUCGGCUAGGGGGUCAUCCCGACUUACCAACCCGAUGCAAACUACGAAUACCGAAGAAUGUUAUCACGGGAGACACACGGCGGGUGCUAACGUCCGUCGUGAAGAGGGAAACAACCCAGACCGCCAGCUAAGGUCCCAAAGUCAUGGUUAAGUGGGAAACGAUGUGGGAAGGCACAGACAGCCAGGAUGUUGGCUUAGAAGCAGCCAUCAUUUAAAGAAAGCGUAAUAGCUCACUGGUCGAGUCGGCCUGCGCGGAAGAUGUAACGGGGCUAAACCAUGCACCGAAGCUGCGGCAGCGACACUAUGUGUUGUUGGGUAGGGGAGCGUUCUGUAAGCCUGCGAAGGUGUGCUGUGAGGCAUGCUGGAGGUAUCAGAAGUGCGAAUGCUGACAUAAGUAACGAUAAAGCGGGUGAAAAGCCCGCUCGCCGGAAGACCAAGGGUUCCUGUCCAACGUUAAUCGGGGCAGGGUGAGUCGACCCCUAAGGCGAGGCCGAAAGGCGUAGUCGAUGGGAAACAGGUUAAUAUUCCUGUACUUGGUGUUACUGCGAAGGGGGGACGGAGAAGGCUAUGUUAGCCGGGCGACGGUUGUCCCGGUUUAAGCAUGUAGGCUGGUUGUCCAGGCAAAUCCGGAUAAUCAAGGCUGAGGUGUGAUGACGAGGCACUACGGUGCUGAAGUAACAAAUGCCCUGCUUCCAGGAAAAGCCUCUAAGCAUCAGGUAACAUUAAAUCGUACCCCAAACCGACACAGGUGGUCAGGUAGAGAAUACCAAGGCGCUUGAGAGAACUCGGGUGAAGGAACUAGGCAAAAUGGUGCCGUAACUUCGGGAGAAGGCACGCUGGUGUGUAGGUGAAGUCCCUGCGGAUGGAGCUGAGACCAGUCGAAGAUACCAGCUGGCUGCAACUGUUUAUUAAAAACACAGCACUGUGCAAACACGAAAGUGGACGUAUACGGUGUGACGCCUGCCCGGUGCCGGAAGGUUAAUUGAUGGGGUUAUCCGUAAGGAGAAGCUCUUGAUCGAAGCCCCGGUAAACGGCGGCCGUAACUAUAACGGUCCUAAGGUAGCGAAAUUCCUUGUCGGGUAAGUUCCGACCUGCACGAAUGGCGUAAUGAUGGCCAGGCUGUCUCCACCCGAGACUCAGUGAAAUUGAACUCGCUGUGAAGAUGCAGUGUACCCGCGGCAAGACGGAAAGACCCCGUGAACCUUUACUAUAGCUUGACACUGAACAUUGAGCCUUGAUGUGUAGGAUAGGUGGGAGGCUUUGAAGCGUGGACGCCAGUCUGCGUGGAGCCAACCUUGAAAUACCACCCUUUAAUGUUUGAUGUUCUAACGUUGGCCCCUUACCGGGGUUGCGGACAGUGUCUGGUGGGUAGUUUGACUGGGGCGGUCUCCUCCCAAAGCGUAACGGAGGAGCACGAAGGUUAGCUAAUCCUGGUCGGACAUCAGGAGGUUAGUGCAAUGGCAUAAGCUAGCUUGACUGCGAGCGUGACGGCGCGAGCAGGUGCGAAAGCAGGUCAUAGUGAUCCGGUGGUUCUGAAUGGAAGGGCCAUCGCUCAACGGAUAAAAGGUACUCCGGGGAUAACAGGCUGAUACCGCCCAAGAGUUCAUAUCGACGGCGGUGUUUGGCACCUCGAUGUCGGCUCAUCACAUCCUGGGGCUGAAGUAGGUCCCAAGGGUAUGGCUGUUCGCCAUUUAAAGUGGUACGCGAGCUGGGUUUAGAACGUCGUGAGACAGUUCGGUCCCUAUCUGCCGUGGGCGCUGGAGAAUUGAGGGGGGCUGCUCCUAGUACGAGAGGACCGGAGUGGACGCAUCACUGGUGUUCGGGUUGUCAUGCCAAUGGCACUGCCCGGUAGCUAAAUGCGGAAGAGAUAAGUGCUGAAAGCAUCUAAGCACGAAACUUGCCCCGAGAUGAGUUCUCCCUGAGACUUUAAGUCUCCUGAAGGAACGUUGAAGACGACGACGUUGAUAGGCCGGGUGUGUAAGCGCAGCGAUGCGUUGAGCUAACCGGUACUAAUGAACCGUGAGGCUUAACCUUACAACGCCGAAG
rnacentral:rRNA from 1 species